rnacentral:rRNA from 1 species
UACUGGGCGUAAAGCGCGCGUAGGCGGCGUGUCACGCCGGGGUGUGAAAGCCCCGGGCUCAACCUGGGAACGGCAUCCGGAACGGGCAGGCUAGAGUGCAGGAGAGGAAGGUAGAAUUCCCGGUGUAGCGGUGAAAUGCGUAGAGAUCGGGAGGAAUACCAGUGGCGAAGGCGGCCUUCUGGACUGACACUGACGCUGAGGUGCGAAAGCGUGGGUAGCAAACAGGAUUAGAUACCCUGGUAGUCCACGCCGUAAACGAUGUCGACUAGCCGUUGGGUCCCUUGAGGACUUAGUGGCGCAGUUAACGCGAUAAGUCGACCGCCUGGGGAGUACGGCCGCAAGGUUAAAACUCAAAUGAAUUGACGGGGGCCCGCACAAGCGGUGGAGCAUGUGGUUUAAUUCGAUGCAACGCGAAGAACCUUACCUACCCUUGACAUCCUGCGAACCCGGAAGAGAUUCCGGGGUGCCUUCGGGAGCGCAGAGACAGGUGCUGCAUGGCUGUCGUCAGCUCGUGUUGUGAAAUGUUGGGUUAAGUCCCGUAACGAGCGCAACCCUUGUCCCUAUUUGCCAGCGAUUCGGUCGGGAACUCUAGGGAGACUGCCGGUGACAAACCGGAGGAAGGUGGGGACGACGUCAAGUCAUCAUGGCCCUUACGGGUAGGGCUACACACGUGCUACAAUGGCCGGUACAAAGGGUUGCGAAAGCGCGAGCUGAAGCUAAUCCCGAAAAGCCGGUCUCAGUCCGGAUCGGAGUCUGCAACUCGACUCCGCGAAGUCGGAAUCGCUAGUAAUCGUGCAUCAGAAUGGCACGGUGAAUACGUUCCCGGGCCUUGUACACACC